rnacentral:rRNA from 1 species
ACCAGUACCGUGAGGGAAAGGCGAAAAGAACCCCGGCGAGGGGAGUGAAAAAGAACCUGAAACCGUGUACGUACAAGCAGUGGGAGCACGCUUAGGCGUGUGACUGCGUACCUUUUGUAUAAUGGGUCAGCGACUUAUAUUCUGUAGCAAGGUUAACCGAAUAGGGGAGCCGAAGGGAAACCGAGUCUUAACUGGGCGUUAAGUUGCAGGGUAUAGACCCGAAACCCGGUGAUCUAGCCAUGGGC